AGGAAUUCCUGGAGCUUCGUCCUUGCUGUGGAUUCUAAACUAUCCCGAAAGCCCCUCGGACAUAUGAGUAAGAAAAAAAAUAUCACCCGGCCAACUCACAAUAGAAUCUCCCGCCAAAUUCUUUUAAUGGUCACUUGAAAUGCGAGGAAAAAAUUGUUUUUUUUUAAAUAUAUCCGGUCCGGAAAUAUCACAAGAUAUGGAGAAUGGACACCGCAAAAUAUCCGGACUUGCGUCCGGUAUAACCUUUGGCACCACAGAAGAUUCAAUAUCACUUCCUGACAUGCAAUCAUUUACAUUACAAAGUCGAUUACAAUCUUUAGAUGUACCCGAAAUUCUAUAAGUAAAAAUGUACAUAAUGCAAUAUUGAUUUUUAAUAAACAUAUGUACUGAUUUUAACAUUUCGUAUGGAAACAUGACUAAGGCCAUUGGAAAUGUCAGACGUCGAAACUGAUAUCAUGACCAGCACUUUUUUUGUAGUACUGUACUUUUAUAAUCUUUUUUUAUCGCUUGUAAGCUUUACGAAACUAAUUAUUGUAAUUUUAUUAUUGAUUAUUAAUUAUUUAAAUUUAUGUUUAGUAAAGUAAAAGACCCAGUACUCAA